rnacentral:lncRNA from 1 species
CCAGACGCAUUUCAUCAAACAGUUUCCAGGCAUCAUCGAGCCUGCCCACUUCACACAAUCCUCUGAUCAUUAUUGUGUAAGUAGAAACAUUAGUUUCAUAAGACCCUCUUUAAAAAUCUGUCCAAAAUACCCCCAAGCUAAAUCAACCCUAUUGCCUUAACAAGAGCAACCAAAAGGGUAUUAUAGGAAAAUAAACAAUAACCAAAUUCCCUUUCCUUCAUUUGAUGUAAAAGCUUAACAGCCCACUUCAAAUGGCCUAAAUCACUAAGAGCUUAGAUAAACUUUCCCACCAUAAAAUCUAUCAUGGGAUUUCCAUGAAUCCGCUGCUAAGGAAAAUGAUUUGUGUAAAAUGAGUUUAUCAGUUAUGGCAAUGUAGGAAAAAUGAUUGUGGGUGUAGUUGUUUGGGUUCGACUCAGGCAAGAGAAGUUGAAGAAGAAAAGGGAAUGGUAAGGGCUUGUUCGGCUUUUGAUGGUUUGAAUGGCUAACAUUGGGUUAAGUAUGGGGAGAAGUGGUAGAGGAGUGAAGGGUCUGGGUUUUGCUGGGUGUUUGGGUGUUGGGGGUUCAAGAAUUGGAGGAGAGAGGUUAUACUGGUGAUGAGUGAGAGAGGCUAUGUGAGAGUAUCGAUGCGAGGUGAUGGUGUGUUGAAUAUUGUUCAAAAAUCAAUAAUAUGCACCUGGAAUAAGAAAUGGGAAAUGGAGGCCAAAAUGUUAAGCGACCGC